GUCAAUGAUGAGUACUUUAUAUUACCUUGAGGAGGGUUGAUGGCUUAUGUGUCACGUACAAUGGCAUGACACUGAGGAAC
rnacentral:snoRNA from 1 species